AGAGUUUGAUCCUGGCUCAGGAUGAACGCUAGCGGCGUGCUUAAUGCAUGCAAGUCGAACGGUCAAGAAAUGUCCGCAAGGAUGUUUCGAGAUAGUGGCGAACGGCUGAGUAACACGUGAGUAACCUGCCCUCUGGUGGGGAAUAACAUGCCGAAAGGCAUAUUAAUACCGCAUGGUCUUAUUAUCAUGCGUGGUAAUAAGUAAAGCCUUGUGCGCCAGUGGAGGGGCUCACGACCUAUCAGGUAGUUGGUGAGGUAACGGCCCACCAAGCCAAAGACGGGUAGCUGGUCUGAGAGGAUGAUCAGCCAGACGGGGACUGAGACACGGCCCCGACUCCUACGGGAGGCAGCAGCAGGGAAUAUUGCGCAAUGGGCGAAAGCCUGACGCAGCGACGCCGCGUGAAGGAUGAAGACCUUCGGGUUGUAAACUUCUUUUACUGGGGAAGACAAUGACGGUACUCAGUGAAUAAGCAUCGGCUAACUACGUGCCAGCAGCCGCGGUAAU
rnacentral:rRNA from 1 species